AUUGAACGCUGGCGGCAUGCUUUACACAUGCAAGUCGAACGGCAGCGCGGGCUUCGGCCUGGCGGCGAGUGGCGAACGGGUGAGUAAUACAUGGGAACGUGCCCAGUAGUGGGGGAUAGCUCGGCGAAAGUCGGAUUAAUACCGCAUACGACCUGAGGGUGAAAGCGGGGGAUCUUCGGACCUCGCGCUAUUGGAGCGGCCGAUGGCAGAUUAGCUAGUUGGUGGGGUAAAGGCCUACCAAGGCGACGAUCUGUAGCUGGUCUGAGAGGACGACCAGCCACACUGGGACUGAGACACGGCCCAGACUCCUACGGGAGGCAGCAGUGGGGAAUUUUGGACAAUGGGCGAAAGCCUGAUCCAGCAAUGCCGCGUGUGUGAUGAAGGCCUUCGGGUUGUAAAGCACUUUUGGCGGGAACGAAAAGGACUGUGCCAAUACCACGGUUCGAUGACGGUACCCGCAGAAUAAGCACCGGCUAACUACGUG
rnacentral:rRNA from 1 species